rnacentral:rRNA from 1 species
UACGAGGGGGCGAGCGUUGUUCGGAAUUAUUGGGCGUAAAGGGUGCGUAGGCGGUUUGGUAAGUCUGAUGUGAAAUCUAUGGGCUCAACUCAUAGUCUGCAUCGGAAACUGCCGGGCUUGAGUGUGGGAGAGGUGAGUGGAAUUCCUGGUGUAGCGGUGAAUGCGUAGAUAUCAGGAGGAACACCUGUGGCGAAAGCGGCUCACUGGACCAUAACUGACGCUGAUGCACGAAAAGCUAGGGGAGCAAACAGG